AGCACUAAACACGUUUCACACGGUAGCAACUCAUCAUCUCCCUUAUCAUGAACGAGAUUUCUUUCUGGUUUAGGGUUUAGACAUUUUGACGUUUCACACGGUAGCAACUCCUCAUCUCUCUUAUCACGUUCAGUUUUGAAAUCGUUGGAGGCUAAAUUGGUUGAUGUGGGAAUUGUUGGCUCUGAUUAAGAGAGAAACACGGCUGUAAUUUUUUACCAAAAGCAGAUUUGUCUAAUACUGAGGUCUUUGUUCCUAAAAUUACCACGCUGCUACCUGACUGAAAGGGUUUGCUUUUGAAGCUUUGUUGCAAGCUAACACUCUUUGUCUCCACAAUAAUAGAGCAAUGGCACCCCCAACUCAAGUUAUAGGUUCAACGCAUCCAAAUUCUUCAAAUGUCACUAUGAGUCAACAACAAGAAGAGUGUUCAAGGACAAAAAAAGCUGGAAGAGGAAAAACAACUGGAACAAGUGUUUCCAAAAAAAAGAGAAAGAGUGCUAAUGGAAAAUUGCCCCUUUGUAUUCCGCUUGACAAGAUGGUGGCGGUUGGACCGGGAGCUCCAGAUUUUGUUACUGAAAUUUCUGUGCUUGUCAAAAAAAAAGCUCCUUUUAAUGUCAAGGGGUGGAAAAAAGUUCCUAGCUUGGCAAAAGAUCAUAUAAUAU